AGAGAUGGCUUCCUCUGGCCAUGAUGUUAGUACUUCUUUCGUGAUUCUCAUUCCCCGAGAGACAUCUGCCAGACGAAGGAAACAGGCCUCAGCCCUGCUGAAGGAGGAGACCCGAGUGAGGGCCACAUCCUGCUGGAGUUGGGUAUGGGGAGAGGAACGGAGAGAGGCAAAUGAAGACAAUCAGUUAGAGCCGAAUGGCUUUGCAGUCAUCAAAGCUGACCCUGGCCAGGUGUUCUGGUCUGCUCAGGUGCCCACGGAUGGCACUGCUCCUGCACCGCCAACCACUGAUGACACUAUGUUUCUUGGUGUCGUUCCCUGCCCAGAUGCUGAUCUCAUUAGUCGGGUAUCACUUCAGAGCCAUGAUGCUGGCAAUUGCUCUAACCUCAUGGAGGAGACCAAGACUUUCUCAUCGACUGAGAGUCUGCAACAACUUUCUCAACAGCUCAAUGGCCUUGUGUCUGAGAUACCACAGGACUGGGACCCAGAAAGAAGGUAGAGAGGAAAGGAAAGUAUGUUAGAAAAUGAGGUGGGAUUCUCAAGAGACUAAUUCAUGAGAGGCUCUUGUCAUACUGGAGAAGACUUGGAUUUGGACCACAA